rnacentral:rRNA from 1 species
CCCUUAGAUGUUCUGGGCUGCACGCGCGCUACACUGAUGCAUCCAACAAGUUUUUUCCUUGUUCGAGAGGACUAGGUAAUCUUUUGAGAAUGCAUCGUGAUGGGGAUAGAUUAUUGCAAUUAUUAAUCUUCAACGAGGAAUUCCUAGUAAGCGCAAGUCAACAGCUUGCGUUGAUUACGUCCCUGCCCUUUGUACACACCGCCCGUCGCUACUACUGAUUGGAUGUUUAAGCGAGGUUCUCGAACUGCUAGCGACUUAGCUUCGGUGAGGUCGCAGUGUGGGAAGUGAACCUAGCUUUGGUGUCUAGAGGAAGUAAAAGUCGUAACA